rnacentral:SRP_RNA from 1 species
GCCGGGCGUGGUGGUGUACGCCUGUAAUCCUAGCUACUUAGGAGGCUGAGGCAGGAGAAUCGCUUGAACCCGGGAGGUGGAGGUUGCAGUGAGCCGAGAUCACGCCACUGCACUCCAGCCUGGUGACAGAGCGAGACUCUGUCUCAA